AACUCUGUGUGCUAGUGAGUCGAUCCAAGGACUAGCACAGUAAGCACAGAGAUCGAACCCUAGUAAGGGGGAGGAUCGCUUCACCAUGUUUGAUCCUUGAUGAACUGCCACUACCCUCAUAAGAGGUGCGCGGCUUCUGGUGUGGUCCAGUGUUAAUGCUUCCAUGGCUAUGUCUUCUCUUGCGGCCCUCAAUCUCGUUAUCUUGUCUUACUAGAUAAAGGCCUUGUCUACCAGAGACUGAUAGGUGGGGGUGUAAGAAACUGACAGCUGAACGGAAAGCUCGUCGUUCAGUCCAUCCAAAAACUUCUCGCGGCGCUUGGCAUCGGUAUUGACUUCAUCAGGUGCAUAGCGAGACAGCUUGUUGAAUUUCUCAAUAAAUUCCAUCACGUUGCGGGUUCCUUGCUUCAGUUUGUGGAACUCCUUCUUCCUUAGGUUUAGCACUCCCACGAAGAUAUGGGCGGUGCGGAAAGCUGUAACAUCCCAAAAUUUCAAACUUUUACAUGUGCAUUGCAUUCAUGAACAUCAUGCCACAAUUGCAUAGUUGAAUUCAAAAUUGAAUCUCAAAAGGGCUUUAAAAGACUUUGUUUACACCCAUUUAAGCUUUGGAUUUUCAAACCAAUAGGGUUUAUGUAUAAAAGGGGUUUAAUGCAUAUAUAAGCUAUCCCAUAUUUGUUUUGGAUAAUUAUUUGGAGUUGAAAAAGUAUUUUAUUUAAAUGGAGAUAUAACCCUAAGGGCAUUUAUAGGGCAAAUGUAUUUUUAUAUAUGUUAUUUUGAAGAGAAACUACUUCCAAAAGUUGUAUCAUGGUAGAACAUGAUUUUAUAAAUUUUCUGGAAUUCAUUUGGACCAAUUUGGAGUUCAAACUCAAAAGAUAUCAAAGAAAUGGGAAAAAUAGAAAAAGAAAAGGUCUAAAAGAAAAAAAAGGGUAAACGGACCGGCCCGGCCAACUUGGGCCGAACCGACCCAACUCCCCCGAGCGCGCCACCACCCAGCUGGCCCUGCCGACCGCUCGCGCGCGCCCG
rnacentral:lncRNA from 1 species